rnacentral:rRNA from 1 species
CUACGGGAUGCUCCAGUGGGGAAUAUUGCACAAUGGACGAAAGUCUGAUGCAGCAACGCCGCGUGGAGGAUGACACAUUUCGGUGCGUAAACUCCUUUUAUAUAGGAAGAUAAUGACGGUACUAUAUGAAUAAGCACCGGCUAACUCCGUGCCAGCAGCCGCGGUAAUACGGAGGGUGCAAGCGUUACUCGGAAUCACUGGGCGUAAAGAGCGUGUAGGCGGGUUAAUAAGUUGGAAGUGAAAUCCUAUGGCUCAACCAUAGAACUGCUUCCAAAACUGUUAGCCUAGAAUAUGGGAGAGGUAGAUGGAAUUUCUGGUGUAGGGGUAAAAUCCGUAGAGAUCAGAAGGAAUACCGAUUGCGAAGGCGAUCUACUGGAACAUUAUUGACGCUGAGACGCGAAAGCGUGGGGAGCAAACAGGAUUAGAUACCCGCGUAGUC